UCAGCGGCCACCACCUAAUGUCACCGCUGAUUAAGCCUCAUUAGCGGCGACUAUGCAAUGUCACCGCUGAUUGAGGCUUAAUAGAAAAUUUUUGCGCCAAUAAGUGGCGUGGUUUCUUAAAUUUUCGAACCAAAAAUUUUCCCCAAACCCUCAGAAACACGAAAAUCCCUAAAAUUUUCCCCUCCCUCAAGAGCACUCAGCUCCCUCAUCACUCUCACUCUCGAUCUCUCUCCCGCUGCUCUCCCUAGCUCACCCUCUCUUUCACUCUCACUCCGGCGAGGUCUUCGGCCACCGGCGAAGCUGUCUCACCGUCGCUUCUGUCUAUCUCACUCCGGCACAAGGUUCCGUCUACUGGCGAAGAAGAAUGGGGCUUGCUCUCCCUCCCUCGCUCCUGUCUCUCUCUCACUCCGGCGAAGCCGAAGGCUCUCUCUCUCCUCCACCGGCGUAAUAGAAGAAGAUGAAGGAGGGAUGAGCUCACGACCAAGGAAGAAGAAAUGGGCAAGGUGAGUUUUUUUUUUGGCUUUUCCUCAGUUAGCUCCCUCUCUUUAUUCGGUUGGGGCGGCAGAGCAGCGCCUACGCGGGUGGGUCACGGUCCCGACGCCGGAAAACCUCAUAAUCGUUUGGGUCCCUACGUUUUUCGGUGGCCAAAUAUGGUGGAGAGGCUUUUUGUUUGAGUUCAGAGAGUGCUGUUAGUCCCAAGUUAGCGGCCUGGGGAGAACUUCAGUUUCGAAAGGCAUUUCUAAUACUGAGUUAUAUUGGGGAAAACCAGCUCGAGGAUAUUGAUGAUAUUUCUGCAGAUGAAAUUAGGAGUCUGAAACAUUUAGGGAUGCUAGAUUUUGAAGAAAGAGUUUGGGAAUCUUUGGGAAAAAAAUAUAUUGACAAAGAAGACCGGCUAAUGGUGAAUGUUAUGUUCUAAUUGUUGUUGACCUAUGAUAGCAUACCGUUUCUUGACUAAUUUCUUAAUGCCUGAGAAGUCCACUGAAUAUAUAUAUAUAUAUAUAUAAGCUUGAAGUUGCUUUUUUCUUCA